AAAAAUUUAGUUAAAAUAUAACAUCAACUUGUCAAGUUGAAAUUAAUAUAAAUAUUAAUUUUUA
rnacentral:tRNA from 1 species